GUAUUUAUGGACUUUCGAAGAUGACCUGUUUGGUGCUUUUUGUUACAUAGUAAAUAGGGAAGCUUUACAGACCUUGAGAGUAAACAGAAUGAACAGCGUCUGAGAGUCUAGAGUCCAAGAGCAGCUCAAGGAGGGACUAGAGCGUAGGACCUACAGUGAACCUCUGAUAUAGGAGCUGGGCAAAGACCUUGAAAAACUUAAGGAAACCUAAAGAAGAUGUAGGAAGAACAUAGCUCGAUACCAAUAACAACUUCCAGAGAACCGAUGAACCUACUCAUAUGUAUAUUAUUUAGUUUGUCUAAAUGCUGACGUCCCUGGAUGAUUUUCUUUGUAGUAUUGAUCGAUCAGGAUCUAAGAAGAAAAACAUUUGAACAC